GAAAGGUGUCCGAGCCUCGUGCAGUGACAGGGCUGACAGAGAGGGAGGCGGAGAGCACGUGCUCCCCAGACCUGGCGCCUCAACUCUGCGCUUGCGCAGUCAGCAAAACACUUUGGCGCCCAUAGACCCCACUCAGUCCGCCUGGAUCUGCACGUGCCCCGCCUCCAUACAGCAGAGUGCGCACGUGCCCUGCCUCCUCAGGACUCGGGCCCCAGUCUCCCUCCGGCUCUGCUGUCCCCCUUGUCUCUGGGGGUCUUCCUGUCCCUCCCCAAAAUUCAGGGGCGAGCCAGUCCCCUCCAUCCGUGGCCAUGAUGGCGCCACCCUGGUCCCUGGGAGAAAGAGUCCGAGCAGAGCCUCAGGAACGGAGCAGCGCCUGGAGAGCCAGGGGAGAACGAAAACCAGCUUGUUGUCCAUUCAGGAAAAGGACUUUCUGAUAAAGUUGAGAGAAAUUCGGUGAGCAGCACCAACGGGAUUGGCAGCAGAGAACUGGAAAGGAGAGGAUGCCCAUGGGUGGGGAAUGGCGGAAAAACAUGGCAGAAGGCUGCAGAGCCGGAAGAAAUGGCGACCACGAAUUGGGGAAAGCCUGAACUGAUGCAGAGUGAAGAGGGCAGAACCAGGAAAGCAGCGUAUACAGUAACAGGAAGUGAUCCUCAGGAGCAAAGACCCGGGAUAAAGAGCCAAAGAGGGAACUGGCACGACCCAUGUCAAAGCAGGCCACCUUCUGCUCCAUUUCCUUCGGGACUUCUCUGCCAUAUUGUGCCUGGUCUUUAGUCACCACACUGGAAAUAUGGAAAUGUGUAUUUUGCUGGUACAACCUAUGUUGGACUGUUGGGGGGGGGGGGAUCUGCACCAUCAUAAAAUGUCAGGAAACAGCUGUCAAAAAUUGUCUCUACAUGUCAUUGGAAAAAUAAAAUUUAAUUUAAAAAAGAGACCCUCA
rnacentral:lncRNA from 1 species